GUGAGGAAUAUUGCGCAAUGGAGGCAACUCUGACGCAGCCAUGCCGCGUGCAGGAUGAAGGCCUUCGGGUUGUAAACUGCUUUUGUACGGAACGAAAAGACUCCUUCUAAUAAAGGGGGUCCAUGACGGUACCGUAAGAAUAAGCACCGGCUAACUACGUGCCAGCAGCCGCGGUAAUACGUAGGGUGCAAGCGUUAAUCGGAAUUCCUGGGCGUAAAGCGUGCGCAGGCGGUUAUAUAAGACAGAUGUGAAAUCCCCGGGCUCAACCUGGGAACUGCAUUUGUGACUGUAUAGCUAGAGUACGGUAGAGGGGGAUGGAAUUCCGCGUGUAGCAGUGAAAUGCGUAGAUAUGCGGAGGAACACCGAUGGCGAAGGCAAUCCCCUGGACCUGUACUGACGCUCAUGCACGAAAGCGUGGGGAGCAAACAGGAUUAGAUACCCGAGUAGUCC
rnacentral:rRNA from 1 species